GACAGCUCAGUUGGUACAGCAUGAUACUCUUAAUAUCAGGGUCAUGGGUUUGAACCCCACCUUGGGCA